CUUGAAGGAAGUGACCUUAUUCCUCCUCCACUUUCUGAACAGAGACCCAAGGUCUGCAAUAACAGAAGACAUUGAGGCCAACCUACUGUAUUGUCUAAAAGGUUUCAACAGCUGCACCUCUCUUGCUCGGCCCCACCCUGAACCCAGCUCUCGACUCGAACACGGCUCCAGCAUGGAGGAGGUGGACCGAAUCCUCAUCCAUUCCCUGCGCCACGUCGGCACAGCAGUUCCUCCAGGUGUACAGACCCUGCAAGCCUUCACCCCUGAGUUGGUUGUAAAAGCUGUGGUCUGCUGUCUGCGUGUGAUCAACCCUGCCGUGGGCUCUGGCCUCAGCCCCCUGCUGCCUCUGGCCAUGUCUGAGCGCCUCCACCUGGCCGUGAGCCUGGCUCAGGCCUGCACGGACCUGGGCUAUCCCUUGGAGCUUGGCUAUCAGAGCUUCCUCUACCCCGGUGAGCCUGAUCUCCGGGACCUGCUUCUCUUCUUGGCUGAGCAUCUGCCCUCUGAUACCUCUGACGAUGCAGAUCGGCCUGCGGGUGACUCAUCUCUCCUUCUCCGGGCCAUCGGGGGCCAAAUGCGGGACCAGUUGGCCCUUCCCUGGGUCCCACCCCUCCUUCGUACUCCUCAGCUACAGCACCUCCAGGGCUCAGUCUCCCAGAAGCCUUUCCACACCAUCAGGCUGGUCAUGCCUGAGUUGAGUUCCAGAGGGGAGCCCCGGGAGUUCCAGGCAAGUCCUCUGCUGCUACCAGCCCCCACCCAGGUGCCCCAACCUGCUGGGAGGGUGGCCUCACUCCUCGAAUGCCAUGCCAUCCAGCUCUGCCAGCACACAGGCCGGGACCGCCCUGGGGAUGAGGACUGUGUCCAGCAGGCACCCCGCCAUCCCACCCAGGAGGAUACACGGGCUCGGUGGCAGUGGCUGCAGAGGCACCUGGCCGAGCAUCUACGCCAGACCUGGGGCCGACCAGCGGCUCCCUCACAAGCCGGAGACCUGAGAGAGCUGCUGCAGGCCUGGGGUGCUGGGACCAGGACUGGUGCUUCUAAGGGCUCCCGCUUCACACACUCAGAGAAGUUCACCUUCCAUCUGGAGCCUGAGGUCCAGGCAGCCCAGGGGUCUGAUGUGCCGGUCACCUCCCAGCGGCCUGAACAGGACACGAAGGCAGCUCAAGAACAGGAGCUGGAGUCUCUUUGGGAGCAGCUGGAGGGAGUGAACCGCAACAUUGAAGAGGUUGAAGCCAACAUGAAGACCCUGGAAAUCAGCCUCAUCCAGGUGGAGGCCGAGCGUGGGCAGACCGAGCUCAGCACAGCAGAGAAUAAGCAGGCCCUGCGCUUGAAGAGCUGGGCAGUGGAGCUGCUGCCUGGCGGGGCUGCCAACCUCUCCAAACUGCAGCUCAUGGUAGAGAGUAGUGCCCAGCGGGUCUUCCACUUGGCGGGUCAGUGGGAAAAACACCGGGUCCCUCUCCUGGCUGAGUACCGCCUCCUCCGAAAGCUCCGGGAUUGCAGAGAGCUGGAAUCUUCUCGACGGCUGGCAGAGAUCCAGGAGCUGCACCAGAGUGUUCGAGCAGCUGCCGAAGAGGCCCGAAGGAAGGAGGAGGUCUAUAAGCAGCUGGGGUCAGAGCUGGAAACCCUGCCUACAGGUGUGUCCUGGCAGGGCUAUACCCAUCGCAUCCUGGAGGUUGUGGACAACAUCCGGAAGCAGAAGGAAGGGAUCACUAAGAUCUUGUCAGACACAAAGGAGCUUCAGAAGGAAAUCAGCUGUCUGUCUUCGAAGCUGGACCGGACCUUUGCAGUGACCGAUGAGCUCAUUUUCAAGGAUGCCAAGAAGGAUGAUGCCGUUCGGAAGGCAUACAAGUAUCUAGCUGCCUUUCAUGAGAACUGCAGCCAGCUCCUCCAGACCAUCGAGGACACAGGCACAAUCAUGUGGGAAGUUGGAGACCUUGAGCAGCAGAUCGAGACAGAGAUGGGGAAGAAGACCCUCAGCAACCUGGAGAAGAUCCGCGAGGACUACCGAGCCCUUUGCCAGGAGAAUGCUGACCUCCUGGAGCAGGUCCUGGAGGCCUGAGGAGCCCCCAGUACUGCUCUGCUCCUGGCCUUGGGCAGGGAGUUGGGAUGUUGGGGUUGGUGGCCAAGUGCUUGCCCUAGCCAUUCCCUCUGUUAGCUGUGCCGCUCCUCCUACAGCCUUGGCCCCAGACCCCUGCCCACCUGACCCAAACCCUUAUCUGGGCUGAUCAUUCAAAACGUUGGAAUUUGGCUGCAAUUUAUUGGAGAGGGCACUGGGGUUAGGACCUUGGAUCCCAAAUAAAA